ensembl:lncRNA
GUGCUACACACUCUGGUUUAAAGAGGGACAUAAGUGAGAAGAAGCCUUUUACUGAGUGUAAACACACAUCAGAUUGUUCUCACUGAUCGCUCUGAUGAUGAAUAACAUGAUGACCUGAAGCAAAGCUCAGAGUGUUUGCUGUGUGUUCUUUGGUGCUGAUUCAGCAGGAAUCAGUGAGAAGGUGCAAAAAUAAAUCACUGUUAAACAGUCAACAGUCCAGUUUUUUAUUUCUUUGGUUCUUCACUUCAGUGGCUCAGUGCAUCAGAUUCACGGGGAGAUUAAAAUCAAACAAAUAACAGAAUUAAACCAAGGAACAAAUGAGGGAAAAGUUCUGCACCAGACUGAACCCCAUAAGUCGGGUAGUGGUCGAUGUAAUAUUCACAGAAAAUGUGAACACAGACAGUACAUGAGGGAAACUGCUCUGUAAGUGAUCAAAUCAACACACAUCGCACAACAUUCCUCCUUCCUUGCACACUUUCCUCCAGAACACUGAGCAGAAAAAAGACACCUGGACUGUUUCAGCAGCUCCUGGAGGAGAGGUGAGAAACAAACAAAUGAAAUCUAAACCAGCUUUUUUACUCUGAUACCGUCAGGAUUUCAUGGCUGACUUGACACAUGCACAAACUGCAACAGUGUUUUUUUUUUUUAUAGUGCUCACAGCAUUUAUGCAUUCACUAUCUUGUAAAACACUCAACCCAGAGAAAAAAAGCAUAAAUUACUUUGUUUGUUUAAAUUGUUGGUUUACACAGAAAAAAAACCAAAGUUUCACAAAUAGGAAAUGUAAAACACAGGUUUCUGUAACACUUCUGUUUCCAUUUUCCACUGAAGGAAGUUCAAGUACCUGCUGAAGGAAAUAAACAAACAAAUUUGAAAAAUACCAUAAAGUCAGUGGUACUGAGAUGGCCUAUUUUGCAGAACAAGUUAUUUUCCAGUCACUGCUGCAUUAACUUCAGUUUUCAUAAAACAAAGUUUGUAAUUUGUAGCUGUGCAAAAUUCACUUUUACAGUCUAAAAUCUCUGUUUGUGUAAAUGUAGGAAAUGUUACACAGUAAAGACAGUUGUAAAGAGGGAGUUAUAAAAAUGUUCAUGAUAGUCAACAUGAUGACUUUGAGUGUUUCACUCAGACGUAUAUUUCAUGUCUAUAACAUUGCCAAGGAUGCAUCACCAUUAAUUAGUGUAAACAAUUUUAUCCCAAACCCUCAUGUUUAUCUAACUUCAUAGAUUUAAUGCUUAAAGUGAUGCAGUUUUAUUUCAUAAGUGUAGAAACCUGUGAGCUGUGAAAUGAUUCCCUCCAUCACCAACCCCACAGAUGUCCAAAUGUAAAAUUAAAUAUAAAGUUUAUGUCCUGGGACAUGAAUUUGUAGAUAUGAACCUGAGGUAUGUUCAUGUGUAUGAGUUCAUAUCCACAAACACAUCAGUCAGUGCUGCACCAUUAGUACCUGUUUCCCUGCUCCAAACAGUUUGAAACCCUCCCAAUGUCUUUAGACUUUAACAGGAUCUCUGAGAAGCAGAAAUCACAUAUUCAGCACCGUUCCCUUUUCUUCUUUUAGAGAUCAGAACAUUAGGUACAAGAAUAAACACACCAAAACUGACAGACUCACUACCAGUCCCACAAACCCUCCAAGUCCUCCUGGAGGACCUGCAGGUGAGAAGAAGGUGAGAGCUGGUGAUGAGUGAAGAACAGAAGAGAAUCCAGGAUUUUAGUGAGUUUUUCAGUCCUUGAAACCCUGAAAACCAAAUUUCAUGAUUUCCAUGUCCUCAGAUCAUCGUUUGUUCCUGUGUUGAGUGACACGCUGGGAAUUUGGAGCAACAGCAGGAGAUUCAGGUGGAAAAGCUGUGAGAUGUUUCAAACAUAGUGCAUUUCAACAGGUUAGUAUGAAUCUUGAUUCUGAUUGUCAUGGUUUAUCUAGAUCAUAAAAACAGCGACACCAACAAGAAGCACAGCAGGAACUACCAGACCAACAAUCAGUCCAACAGAUCCACUCUUCGCUCCUCCAUCCUCCUUCCCUCCAUCCUUCUUCCCUCCAUCCUCUGUGUGUCCUCCUGUCUGACCUGCAGGUGAGAAACAGGUGUGAGGUGUCAGCUGUCAGGUAGGUGAUGAGUGAAGAACAGAACAGAAUCCAUUUCCUCUUCAAACUGCUGUCAGACAUUAUCUACUGCACUCUGAUCACAUCACUCAGACCAGCUGCUUUCUACAAAGUCUCAUCAACAACAUCUUUAGAAACAAACAUCAACAACCAGGAAGCAGCUUCACCUCUGAUCACACACACACUCAACUCUACUCACUCACCUGGAGGAUCAACAACAUGAAGGUAGAUGCUGCUGAUGGGGUCUUUAUUUAAUUUUAAAUUCAUGUUGACACGACACUCGUAUGUUCCAGUGUCAUUAAUCAUCACAUUCUUCAGAAUCAAAGACACGUCUCCAUCCUUCAUCUGUCUGUCCUGCAGAUCCACCCGGUUCUUAAAAGAUGGAUGCUGGUUUUCUGGAUCGGACAUGUUAUUCCGAUACACAAAAACAGGUUUAUCUUCCAGGUCAGUUCUGUUCCACUCUACAAGAUCAAUGUUGUUAUUUUGAGCUCGACAUGUCAGAGUGACAUCCUGUCCAGACUCAGCUGUGAUGUUUUUCUGCUCUGAAAGAGGAAAC